UGUUGUAGCCUUGGAAGUUCAUCUCA
rnacentral:piRNA from 1 species